rnacentral:rRNA from 1 species
AGUGAACGCUGGCGGUAGGCCUAACACAUGCAAGUCGAACGGCAGCACAGUAAGAGCUUGCUCUUACGGGUGGCGAGUGGCGGACGGGUGAGGAAUACAUCGGAAUCUACUUUUUCGUGGGGGAUAACGUAGGGAAACUUACGCUAAUACCGCAUACGACCUACGGGUGAAAGCAGGGGAUCUUCGGACCUUGCGCGAUUGAAUGAGCCGAUGUCGGAUUAGCUAGUUGGCGGGGUAAAGGCCCACCAAGGCGACGAUCCGUAGCUGGUCUGAGAGGAUGAUCAGCCACACUGGAACUGAGACACGGUCCAGACUCCUACGGGAGGCAGCAGUGGGGAAUAUUGGACAAUGGGCGCAAGCCUGAUCCAGCCAUACCGCGUGGGUGAAGAAGGCCUUCGGGUUGUAAAGCCCUUUUGUUGGCAAAGAAAAGCAGCAGGUUAAUACCCCGCUGUUCUGACGGUACCCAAAGAAUAAGCACCGGCUAACUUCGUG